ACCGAGAGAGAGACAGAGUGUGAAUGCGGGAGGGGCAGAGAGAGAGGGAAACACAGAAUCCAAAGCAAGCUCCAGGCUCUGAGCUGUCAGCACAGAGCCUGACAUGGGGCUCAAACUCACAACCGCAAGAUCUGACCUGACCCAAAGUCUGAUGCUUAACUGACUGAGCUGCCCAGGCACCCCUGGAAAAAGUUUUUUUUAGCUUCAUAUUUCAUGACUAGUAAUGACUCUGAUGUCAUGCAUAUUUUUAGAAUUAUUGUCAAAUAUAGUAAAGCCUCAUAUGAGCUGUCAAAUUUCAAGACAUUUCAAGUUUUCUUGGGCAGUGAUAAACCUUUUUUUUUUUUUAAUAGGCCGCAUUCAUCAAUCAAUUUGUCUGCCAUAUCCUAUCUCAGAUGAAUAUAAUGAGCUUUAUGUUAUCCUUAUUGAUGCCAGUAAUUUGCAUUAAAUCAAGAAUCAUUUAAAUCUUCUUCCAAUGACUGACGUGUCAUCAGCCUUUGUCAAGAGCAGCUGCAUCAGGUGAGAACGUGGGUCGCCUGAGGAGACACAGAUAAAGUGUCAAGGCUGGGAUGAAAUCCCUGUCCCUUGAUGCUACAUUAAUACAGGAUACACAAUUUAGAGGCAUGUUUUAAAUGUAAAAUUAACAAUAAUUUGUUAUAAUGACCACUAAUAUUUAAAUGUUCUCAGCCAUUACUUAAGCUAAGCUGGGAGCUAUCCCUAGAGUUGAUCGGAGUCCCCGAAAAACUUUUAUAGUGGCAAUCACCAUGCUAUGGGAGAAAUAUGUACAACCCUUUGAAGGUUUUCAGGUUCUUGUAGGCACUUCUUUUUUUGUUGUUUUCUUUUUAAUAAACCACUUUAUUGAUGUAUGACUGACAUACAAAAUGCCGUAUGUAUUUAAUGUAUACAAUUUGAUGAUUUGGGAUAUAAGUGUAUACCUAUGAAACCAUCAACACAAUCUAUGGUAUAAUAAACAUAUCCAUCACCUCCAAAAGUUUCUUCCUGCCCUCUUUAUUAUGAGUGUGUGUGUGUGUGUGUGUGUGCGUGUGUG